rnacentral:rRNA from 1 species
CCUACGGGAGGCUGCAGUCGAGAAUCAUUCACAAUGGGGGAAACCCUGAUGGUGCGACGCCGCGUGGGGGAAUGAAGGUCUUCGGAUUGUAAACCCCUGUCAUGUGGGAGCAAAUUAAAAAGAUAGUACCACAAGAGGAAGAGACGGCUAACUCUGUGCCAGCAGCCGCGGUAAUACAGAGGUCUCAAGCGUUGUUCGGAAUCACUGGGUGUAACGCGUGCGUAGGCUGUUUCGUAAGUCGUGUGUGAAAGGCGCGGGCUCAACCCGCGGACGGCACAUGAUACUGCGGGACUAGAGUAAUGGAGGGGGAACCGGAAUUCUCGGUGUAGCAGUGAAAUGCGUAGAUAUCGAGAGGAACACUCGUGGCGAAGGCGGGUUCCUGGACAUUAACUGACGCUGAGGCACGAAGGCCAGGGGAGCGAAAGGGAUUAGAUACCCGGGUAGUC